GGCUCUGUGGCGCAAUGGAUAGCGCAUUGGACUUCUAGAUAAAUAAAGGUAUUCAAAGUUUGUGGGUUCGAGUCCCACCAGAGUCG
rnacentral:tRNA from 1 species